UCUGGCUGGAUCCCCAGGCACUUUGAGAGGAAUAAUAGGAUGCAGCGGGGCUUUCUUAAAGUCUUUAAUAUGAUGUUCCAAGAGAAAGAGACACGUUGUCUGGAAGCCAGUGGCCUCAGCCCACCAAGACUAGGUUAAUGAAUCACAAGAGCUGAUCCCGAUGAAUGGACAUGACUCAGACAUCCGGGACCCCAUGCUGUCUGCAGGAGGGGGAUAAGACCUCCGGGAAAGGUCUGAGAGUUUGGCUUAUCGCACACACACACGAGGAUAGGCGGUAAUGCCAUCCAGGACAACAAGAAUCCUUUCCUGGAGUCUUCUAAUCCGAGAGAGGAAAGGCACAACCUCUUGAGUGACAAGGCUGAGGAUGUGAGUUGGAAGCCACUGGCACCUUGAGCAGUGGCUGUUCUAUAGGAGGAGGGAAUGAAGACCGCACUUGAGAGGAGCCAAGAGAUAGAGAAGCCAAGGGUGGACAUCUCGGUGGCAGUUCAUCUUCUGUUCUUCCCUUUCUUCUUUUUUUUUGGGCUGUGCUGGUCUUUGUUGCAGUGCAUUCCAGGGGCUUCUCCAGCUGCAACGUGAGGGCUACUCUAUUUGCUGUGUGCAGGUUUAGAUGCCCCAUGGCAUGUGGGAUCUUAGUUCCCCAAUCAGAAAUCAAAUCUGCAUCCCCUGCAUUGGAAGAUGGACUCUCAAUCCCUGGACCACCAGGGAAGUCCAUACAAGGUUGUACACAAGACUUUUACAAUGUUUUCAUCUGGCUUAACUGAGUUUGUGCUUUUUAAAGUUAGAUUUUAAUACUUGAAGUUAACAGAGUUAAAACUACUGUACCAAACAAAUGCACAAAGUCAAAAGUUUCAUCCUAGAGGUUUUUGUUGAUGUCAAAGUUAUAUGAAAUGCCCACAGAAUUGUAAACAUUUUUAUGUGUAUAAAUAAUUAAAGUCAAAGCUUUAGAAUACA